AGGGCGCACGGUGGAUGCCUUGGCACUAGGAGCCGAUGAAGGACGGGACUAACACCGAUAUGCUUCGGGGAGCUGUAAGUAAGCUUUGAUCCGGAGAUUUCCGAAUGGGGGAACCCAGCAUCUUUUAUAGGAUGUUACUUUUCAGUGAAUACAUAGCUGAUUAGAGGUAGACGCAGAGAACUGAAACAUCUAAGUACCUGCAGGAAGAGAAAGAAAAAUCGAUUCCCUGAGUAGCGGCGAGCGAAACGGGAAAAGCCCAAACCAAGAGGCUUGCCUCUUGGGGUUGUAGGACUCCGAUACGGUAGUCCAGUGAGAUAGUCGAAGGACCUGGAAAGGUCUGCUAGAAAGGGUAAAAGCCCCGUAGACAAAAUUUGACUGGCACCUAGGAGGAUCCUGAGUACGGCGGAACACGAGGAAUUCCGUCGGAAUCCGGGAGGACCAUCUCCCAAGGCUAAAUACUCCCUAGUGACCGAUAGUGAACCAGUACCGUGAGGGAAAGGUGAAAAGCACCCCGGAAGGGGAGUGAAAUAGAUCCUGAAACCGUGUGCCUACAACAAGUUAGAGCCCGUUAAUGGGUGAUAGCGUGCCUUUUGUAGAAUGAACCGGCGAGUUACGAUUACUUGCGAGGUUAAGUUGAAAAGACGGAGCCGCAGCGAAAGCGAGUCUGAAUAGGGCGAAUGAGUAAGUGGUCGUAGACCCGAAACCAUGUGAUCUACCCAUGUCCAGGUUGAAGGUGCGGUAAAACGCACUGGAGGACCGAACCCACGUACGUUGAAAAGUGCGGGGAUGAGGUGUGGGUAGCGGAGAAAUUCCAAACGAACUUGGAGAUAGCUGGUUCUCUCCGAAAUAGCUUUAGGGCUAGCCUCAGAGUAAGAAUGAUGGAGGUAGAGCACUGUUUGGACUAGGGGCCCAUCUCGGGUUACCGAAUUCAGAUAAACUCCGAAUGCCAUCCAUUCAUCUCUGGGAGUCAGACUGUGAGUGAUAAGAUCCAUAGUCGAAAGGGAAACAGCCCAGACCACCAGCUAAGGUCCCCAAAUAACUAUUAAGUGGAAAAGGAUGUGGGGUUGCACAGACAACUAGGAUGUUGGCUUAGAAGCAGCCACCAUUUAAAGAGUGCGUAAUAGCUCACUAGUCGAGUGACCCUGCGCCGAAAAUGUACCGGGGCUAAAUAGUUUACCGAAGCUGUGGAACACACCAAUAGGUGUGUUGGUAGGAGAGCGUUCUAAGGGCGUUGAAGGUAGAUCGUGAGGACUGCUGGAGCGCUUAGAAGUGAGAAUGCCGGUAUGAGUAGCGAAAGACAGGUGAGAAUCCUGUCCACCGAAUGACUAAGGUUUCCUGGGGAAGGCUCGUCCGCCCAGGGUUAGUCGGGACCUAAGCCGAGGCCGAUAGGCGUAGGCGAUGGAUAACAGGUUGAUAUUCCUGUACCCGUUGUUUUUGUUUGAGCAAUGGAGGGACGCAGGAGGCUAAGGAAUCAGACGAUUGGAAAUGUCUGUCCAAGCAAUAAGUCUUGAUGUGAGUCAAAUGCUUACGUCUUUAAGGACAAGUUGUGAUGGGGAGGGAAAUAAUAGUACCGAAGUUCCUGAUGUCACACUGCCGAGAAAAGCUUCUAGUGAGAAAACAAUGGCCCGUACCGCAAACCGACACAGGUAGUCGAGGAGAGAAUCCUAAGGUGAGCGAGAGAACUCUCGUUAAGGAACUCGGCAAAAUGACCCCGUAACUUCGGGAGAAGGGGUGCUGAUCUAACGAUCAGCCGCAGUGAAUAGGCCCAAGCGACUGUUUAUCAAAAACACAGGUCUCUGCAAAAUCGAAAGAUGACGUAUAGGGGCUGACGCCUGCCCGGUGCUGGAAGGUUAAGAGGAGUGCUUAGCGCAAGCGAAGGUACGAAUUGAAGCCCCAGUAAACGGCGGCCGUAACUAUAACGGUCCUAAGGUAGCGAAAUUCCUUGUCGGGUAAGUUCCGACCCGCACGAAAGGCGUAACGAUUUGGGCACUGUCUCAACGAGAGGCUCGGUGAAAUUUUAGUACCUGUGAAGAUGCAGGUUACCCGCGACAGGACGGAAAGACCCCAUGGAGCUUUACUGCAGUUUGAUAUUGAGUGUUUGUACCACAUGUACAGGAUAGGUAGGAGCCGUAGAAGUCGGGACGCUAGUUUCGACAGAGGCGCUGGUGGGAUACUACCCUUGUGUUAUGACCACUCUAACCCGCACCACUGAUCGUGGUGGGAGACAGUGUCAGAUGGGCAGUUUGACUGGGGCGGUCGCCUCCUAAAGAGUAACGGAGGCGCCCAAAGGUUCCCUCAGAAUGGUUGGAAAUCAUUCGCAGAGUGUAAAGGCACAAGGGAGCUUGACUGCGAGACCUACAAGUCGAGCAGGGACGAAAGUCGGGCUUAGUGAUCCGGUGGUUCCGCAUGGAAGGGCCAUCGCUCAACGGAUAAAAGCUACCCUGGGGAUAACAGGCUUAUCUCCCCCAAGAGUCCACAUCGACGGGGAGGUUUGGCACCUCGAUGUCGGCUCGUCGCAUCCUGGGGCUGUAGUCGGUCCCAAGGGUUGGGCUGUUCGCCCAUUAAAGCGGCACGCGAGCUGGGUUCAGAACGUCGUGAGACAGUUCGGUCCCUAUCCGUCGCGGGCGUUGGAAAUUUGAGAGGAUCUGUCCUUAGUACGAGAGGACCGGGAUGGACUUACCGCUGGUGUACCAGUUGUCUCGCCAGAGGCAUCGCUGGGUAGCUAUGUAGGGAAGGGAUAAACGCUGAAAGCAUCUAAGUGUGAAGCCCACCUCAAGAUGAGAUUUCCCAUUUCU
rnacentral:rRNA from 1 species